rnacentral:lncRNA from 1 species
GUUUUUUCCAGAGUAAGAGCUCCGGACACAAUCGCGCUGUGACUUCCAAUUCAUCAUCCUCGAAAGCAACCACUACCGGUGUGAUAAUAAUAAAGAUUAGAUAUAAAAAAAAAAAAAAAAAAACAAAUGAUUCAGAAUCAGAGCGGGAAAAAGUCAAUUUUACUGGCAACAUGAAAGAAGUUGCUACUGGUUUAUUAAAUAAGAAGCCUUUGAGUGAGAGAGAACGAGAAAUACCGCCCAACAUUCCCUCGACAACUUCACAACCACAAAUAUCAUCACAAACUACACAAGACCUGCUUUUGCCACCAUCUCCACCACAACUACCACCACCUGCACAAACACUAACUAUGGAAGCAGCUCAAACUUUAGCAACUGCAGAUGCCUUAGACAAAUAUCAUCACAAAAUAUAGAAGACUCGCUUUUGCCACCAUCUUCACCACCACUUGCACAAACACCGCCUAUUGCAACAGCUCAAACUUCAGAAAUUGAAGUUGUCACCCUAAAAAAUGAGGAAACGAAGAGAAUGAAAAAUGAUAGAAAAUAUGCAUGGGUAGACAACUAUACUAUAGGCCCUUUUAUUUGCAAGAUUUUCUAUGCAAUCGAAGAAUAGCACUUUGGCUACAAGAUGUGGUAAGUAUAUUUCUCACCUUGCUUAUAUUAUUGACCGUUUUCACUGCAACAAAAAGAAUUCCUAUACUGGUAUUUUUGCACUACGACAGGUUAAAGCAGAAGAAUGCGGUCACUUCAUUUUUUAAGGCCUGCCAGGAGUGGGAAAGAAAACUAUGGUUUGGGCUUUGCUUAGAGAAGCCUUUGGAGCCAACAACGUACAGGUGAAUUCUAAUAAAUGAAUUAAUAUGCAUCUAAUAGAAUCAAAUUUAGGAUUGACAGAAAGAGUUGAAAAUUUCUAGCA